UACGAAGGGUGCAAACGUUGCUCGGAAUUAUUGGGCGUAAAGCGCACGUAGGCGGCUUGGCAAGUCGGAUGUGAAAUCCCUUGGCUCAACCAAGGAAGUGCAUCCGAAACUGCUGAGCUUGAGUACGAAAGAGGAUCGCGGAAUUCCCGGUGUAGAGGUGAAAUUCGUAGAUAUCGGGAGGAACACCAGUGGCGAAGGCGGCGAUCUGGGUCGAUACUGACGCUGAGGUGCGAAAGCGUGGGGAGCAACAGG
rnacentral:rRNA from 1 species